AAUUGGAUCUCCCUCCGCUAAAAAGAAAGAGCUGGGCUGGCCAAGGGACCCUGGGCUGCAAAGAGGCUGCUUUCUUUCAGACCCCUCAGCCUCACCUGCAACUUUCAAAGCUUCGAGCCCGAGGGAAGCCAAACACGAGCCGCCUUCCCUUUCGCUACACAACAAGCGCUUGACAUUUUAACUCACGUCUGCGAGCCGGCUGGAAGCUUUCUGUUUUAAUACCCAGCCAGAGAAAAGGCUCGGGGACCGCAACAACAACAACAAAAAAGGCCUGUUGGAUUUUUCCCGUUUCCCUCCAGGAUAUUGUAGCUAAACCACCCGUUCUGGAGCGCAGCUCUGCAGUAUUCAGGCAGCGCAAAACGCCACGGAAGGCCUUGGACUGUUAAAGGUGUCAUACAUUGUGUCUUCUGGGGAAAGAGUUUCGUUGCUGUCUGGAGGCAGCAGAAAUCUAUUAGCUGCGGCAGAGCAUAAGUGCACCCCGGGUACCAGAGUUAAGCGUUUCCACGCCGCAUUGCUUUAUUUGUUCAAAAAGAGGAUUGAUUUUCCUUCUUUUAGUGACACCGGACUUCCCCGGACAGGGCAGGGUUCCAGCUUGCACUGGGAAAAGCGUAAUCGAUACCCAGCAAGCUUAUUGGUAGAUCUGAAGAAGGAUCAAGCCCUGGGAUAAAAAUAGAACAUGAUGUGGUUUAGCCAGGAGCGGGACAGAUACUACCUGCCUGUGGCCAACUGGCUCUGCAGUGAAGACAAACUAAUCGCAGAAGUUUCUCUCCUUUCCUGUGCCACUAGCAGAGCAGCGAUUUCUAGAGAUU